GGGUCCCGGCCCGCGGGGAGAGCUGGGUGCUGGUUGGAGCAGGAGGCGGGAGCUGCGCGACGGGCGAGGCGGUGAGGGAGCAGCAACAGCGGCGGCGGCUGUAGCGGCGGAGGCUUCGGCGACGGCGACAGCGACAGCGACGGGCUCUGGUGACGACUUCUCUGAGGGUGUAAAAAGUGGAUCAGGCAGCUCAUAUGCUAAAGGAUGGCACGGUCAAGAUCCAGAUCCCCCAGGUGGAAACAAAGGUCAUUAUCGCCACAAUCUAGAAAUUUUGAAUACCAUGAGGAAAGACAUUUCCAUGGGCACUAUGACCCUGAAUAUAGACAUGAUCAACAAAGACCCUUUACUUGGAGAAUGGAUGAUGAAAAACAUGGACAAAAUAAACCAAGGAUUCCCCCUCGUGUGAAUUCGUAUCAUCGGUCUUAUGUAAAUAGAUCACCUUCUCCAAAUGUAAAACCUGUUGAAAAAUUUGAUACAUAUAAGCCUCACCAAGAAUAUUUUCCUGGCAGAGGAGAUGAUGACAGACGAUCUCAGUAUAUGCCCACAUACACAGAAAGUGCAGCAACCUACAUGGAGCACGAAAGGGAUUGUUAUAUCCCUACAGUGCAAGGAAGGUAUACUCCUGAUGAUCACAGAGGUAGAGGUAGAGGAAGUGGGAGAGGAGAGAAGCCACCUCAGAUGUCACUGGGGAAGCCACCUAAGAUGUCACUGGGGAAGCCACCUCAGAUGUCACUGGCAGAUUCCUUGAGAUUUAAAGAGAAAUGGCAUGAAGAUGAAUUGAGACACCAGAGGGUACAAGAAGAAAGCUACCCUCAGUCACCCAGAAGAGGCUCAGAAGACUUUGGCACAAGGAACCCUUUUCAAAAGAGGUAUCCCGAGGAUCAUGAUUUCAGAAAGUAUGGCUACACAUCAAAAAGACCUACAGAUGCAGCAAGGUAUGAAAAUAGAGAUCCAGCCAGAAUCCCAAAGUGGAAGCCUGAGCAUUCUUUUCUACCUUUCCAAGAGAAGAAAGAAGAGUGGAGCUUUGGAGCCCAAGGUCACAGAUAUACUGAGAGAGAGUACCCAGAGAGAAGCUCGACAACCAGAGUAUCCUACGACUACCGUCACAAACAUCAUAAGCUCUCAGAGAGCGAGCAGGACUUUCCUGAUGGCAGAUUUCACAAGCACUUAAAGGAAGAAGACAGAAAAUACAGUUCUAUAAAAGCUCCUGCAAAUAGAGAGUUAGAUUGUUUCAGUACUACAAGAGGAAGAGAAAUUGAGAAUGAGCAAAUCAAUGGACCUUUUUAUCUCUACAACAAAAACUCUGUUUCCUAUAAUCAUACAAAUAUAAAGGAUGCUGAUUUGGAGCCUUGCAAUGACAAAUGGAAGAAAAAAAUUAGUAAAGAAGAUUGCAGAAAAGAGAAUGCAUCUUUUAGUAAACAGUUUGAUACAAGCCCAAAACCUGAAGAGAAAUGCUAUUCACUUAUCAAGAAGAAACCACUUUCUGUCAAAGUAGACAGAAACAAGACAGACACAUUUAGGUCUACUUCUAGAUAUUCUGCAGAGAGACAGAUAUCACAUGAUUUGGUUGCUAUUGGCAAAACAAGUGACAAUUUUCAUCCAGUAUUUCAACAUCUUGACUCGACUCAGAAUCCUGAAAAUAAACCUACUGAAGAAUUUGCUCAGGAAAUCAUAACACUAAUCCACAAAGUUAAAGCAGAUAGUUUUGUAACACCUGAUAUUACUCUAAAUGAACGUUUCUCAAGAAUAAAAAACAGACAGGAUGCAGAUUUCAAUCAAACGAAAUCAAAUUCAGAUCCAGAAUUUCACAGGCGAAUAGAUAUGUCUUUGGAUGAUUUUCAGAAUAAAUAUACGAUGGUAUAUGAACCAGAUAAGACUCUGGUCAAAGUAAUAGAACCAAAUGAUCUACGACAUGACAUUGAGAGAAGGAGAAAAGAGCGAUUACAGAAUGAAGAUGAGAAUAUUUUUCACAUGGCUAGUCCUACAGAGAGGAAUCAUCAGUCUCCCAGUUUUUCAAAGGUGAAGACUAUUCGUGCUGAUGGAUUUCAAAAGCCUCCACAUUUUAUAAAAUCAAAUUUUAGAAAAUUUAUUCAGAAACCUUACAUAGUAAGAUUGGAGUUUCAAGUUUUUCAUUUUUGUAUAUUCUUUAUAAAUAUAUCUAUACUUUUCAAAGUGCUUGUAACUUCAUUAUGUGUUAUAAGAGCAUUGAGGCUUAAAGAUUUUUAUGACAUAAUAUAACUCAUCUCUUGAUUUAGUUGAAGUUCAAUUUAUUAUAGUACUGAUUUUCUUAAGCUGUUUUGGUAACAACUUAAUUAAGAUAUAAUUUAUAUACUCUAAAGUUAACUCAUUUCAGGUGUAUAAUUUGGUGAGUUUUAGUAAUUCUCCAAGAUGUGUUAGAGUCAUCACCAUAGUCCAGUUGUUGGACUUGAGACAGGAUUUCACUUUGUUGCUCAGGCUAAGCAGGGGAACUCACCAUAUAUCCCAGGCUAGCCUCAAAUUUGCAGCUCUCCUGCCUUCACCUUCUAUGUGCUAAGAUGACAAGCAUGUGGCACCAUAUCUGAGUAGGAUAUUGUCAUUACCCAGUAAACAUUCUCAUGCCUUAUAUUUAAUUAUUCCAUGUUCCAACCGCCCACCAAACCACUAAUUGCUCUAUUUUAAAGAUUUGCUUAUAGAAUGGAUCAUGAUAUAAUAGCCAGCCGGCAGCUCUUCUGUAAGUGAUGACUAAAUGAUGGAAGCCAAAGUUAGUUUGUUACCUUAUGCUAGAAGUAAUAUCCCAUUACUUAACCAUAUGGUUAUUACAAGAAGCAAGCUACUAGAUCAUACCCACAAAGAGAAGGAUCAUUGAUGGAGAUAAUUAGGAGCCAUGUCAGCAGCUGCCUAGUACAAUCUUCCCUCUGGCCAGACUCCACAGAAAUGGAUUAAGUAGAAGAACUAUACUAUGCAGAGAAAAGAUGCCAUUGAUCAGAAGAUAUUUAGAGUUGAGGAAAAUCAUCAGAACAGAAGAGGCUCUAAAGGAUCUUUUAAGAACUUUUUGGGUGGCAGAUUCCAGCCUCAUUAUAAAUCACACCUGGUACAGAAGAGCAUGUAUAUUCAGGCUAAAUACCAGCGCUUACGGUUUGCUGGACCAAGAGGAUUUAUUACCAAUAAAUUCAGAAACAGAUUUCUGAGGAAAAAAAAGUUUUAAUGUAAGAGCCUAGUUAAAAGGAAUACCCAGUAUUGCCAAGGACAAACAACCUGGAAUUGUUGCAAGUGGAGCCAACCCUAUAUGAAGACUUAACUGAGCAUCUCAUUUUUGUCAGGAAUUGGAAUUGACACUAAUACUGUAACUUUCUUGAUAAAAUAUCUUUAUUUUUCAGUAGUGGAAUGCUGCAACUUUUUUACAGUAUUCAAUUUCAGAAGUUGUAUUUAACUACAAGCUCUUUUGCAAAAACUCUCAGCAGAAGCAUUUGAGGGGCACUCUUUGUUGAUGCAUCUUUCUCUCAGCAUGGUUUCACUGAGAGAAUUUAAUUAAAUUACAUGUAAACAUUUAUAUGUUGAAAGCUUUCUGUUAUAAGAACAGGUGUCAGAAUUAUUUAGUGUCUGUACAUGAAAGAACUUUUAAACAGUGGCCUUACAGUAUCAAAUUUUAUACUGGCUUUUCUUUUUCUGAUGACAUUUUGGCUUCUAACUUGAAGUUUUCUGAAGUUUCUGAAGAUCAAGGCCUGUAUGUGUCAUCCAUUUUGUAAUACAAUAUAAGAAGCUUAAAGAAGAGGUGCAUCUUCUCCAUCGGGUCGUGUGUAUCUUGGGUUUUCCCAUGACCAUUUGCUCUUUUCUAGUUUCAAAUGCUAUUGUGGAAAAUAUGUAAGGAUUUUAUAAUCUCUAUUCCAUCUUCUUUUCCCUCAGGGCAAGCUUAUGCAUAUUAUAUUUUUAAAGGCUUUUAAAAUCUGACAGACAAAACUGCAUAUUUGAACAUUGUACUUUACUACUACGGUAUUAGACAUUUUGCAGACACAUCUUACAGACAGCAUAUCUUUGGUUCAGUUGAUAGAUAUUUCAUAUCUACUAUGUGUAAGAUAGGAUCCAUGGGAUCGUAAAUACAGUCUAUAGGUCCAAAAACUUCUUUGUUUUCUUUCUUCUGCUUAAAAGUACAUAUACAUUCCCAGUCAAAUUUUUGUGACAUGUUUAUUUGUAAGAAAAUAAAAUAUUGUUCUUUCUGCUUGAAGCUGUUACCUGGCA